rnacentral:rRNA from 1 species
AGAGUUUGAUCAUGGCUCAGGAUGAACGCUGGCGGCGUGCUUAACACAUGCAAGUCGAACGGAGUGCUCAUGACGGAGGAUUCGUCCAACGGAUUGAGUUACUUAGUGGCGGACGGGUGAGUAACGCGUGAGGAACCUGCCUCGGAGUGGGGAAUAACAGACCGAAAGGCCUGCUAAUACCGCAUGAUGCAGCUGGGUCGCAUGACUCUGGCUGCCAAAGAUUUAUCGCUCUGAGAUGGCCUCGCGUCUGAUUAGCUAGUUGGCGGGGUAACGGCCCACCAAGGCGACGAUCAGUAGCCGGACUGAGAGGUUGACCGGCCACAUUGGGACUGAGACACGGCCCAGACUCCUACGGGAGGCAGCAGUGGGGAAUAUUGGGCAAUGGGCGCAAGCCUGACCCAGCAACGCCGCGUGAAGGAAGAAGGCUUUCGGGUUGUAAACUUCUUUUCUCAGG